GCUGAGCGAGGGCUGUGAGGAGGUGCUCCUCGGUGAUGCUGACUCUAAACCAUGUCGGCCAGCCUGGAAGGAGGGGCAGGGACCUCUCGGAUGGGAGGGAUCCCUCCUGUCAGGAACAAUGGCUAAAUACUUUUCAAAUCUGGAGAAGUGAAUGUACAUCCAGAUCCCGGAAAUGGAAAUUUGUUGAUAAAGCCAACAUAGGUCAGCUCCCAACAUCUGAUCAGGCCCUCUUUUGGAGAAGACCCACGGGGCCCGCUUUUCCAGUUGACUAACCAGACUGCUCCCUCACCUCUGACCUGAGUACCGCCCUUCGCUGUUCUGACCUUUAGCGGCCAUGGCAGAGCUUCUCGUCACCUGCUCUACCCCACACAGCUCCUUUCACACUCCCCACUCCAUCCCCCAACCUGCUUAAACACAGACACAGAAGAGGUACUGAAGAAGUCCUGUGCAAAUAGGAGCUUUAAAAAAGCUGAGCAGUUCAAUCAAGAACUAAUCCAAACCAUCACAGGGGUGCAUUUGUGCGGCGGCCAGAUCAGAGCCAACACUAACAUCCUUGGCUCCCUUGGAUUCUGUCUGCAGAAUGUGCUUACCAGGCUGGGAGACAUGGGCCCGUCUCAGAUCACGAGCUGGCAUGCCCUGGUUGCCCAUGGCAACCCAGCUGCGCUGGAGCGUUAGCAUUUGUAAAUGUGUGUGGGCUUAAAAUUAUAUUAUUGAUUCUGUCUGGAAGAUGAUAGUCUGAUUUGUAUAUAGCUCUGAAUAAAUUACUCAUUAUCCUUUACAGCCA